AUUGAACGCUGGCGGCAUGCUUUACACAUGCAAGUCGGACGGCAGCACAGAGGAGCUUGCUUCUUGGGUGGCGAGUGGCGAACGGGUGAGUAACGCAUCGGAACGUACCGAGUAAUGGGGGAUAACUGUCCGAAAGGACAGCUAAUACCGCAUACGCCCUGAGGGGGAAAGCGGGGGAUCUUAGGACCUCGCGUUAUUCGAGCGGCCGAUGUCUGAUUAGCUGGUUGGCGGGGUAAAGGCCCACCAAGGCGACGAUCAGUAGCGGGUCUGAGAGGAUGAUCCGCCACACUGGGACUGAGACACGGCCCAGACUCCUACGGGAGGCAGCAGUGGGGAAUUUUGGACAGUGGGCGCAAGCCUGAUCCAGCCAUGCCGCGUGUCUGAAGAAGGCCUUCGGGUUGUAAAGGACUUUUGUCAGGGAAGAAAAGGGGCAUGUUAAUACCGUGCUCUGAUGACGGUACCUGAAGAAUAAGCACCGGCUAACUACGUG
rnacentral:rRNA from 1 species